rnacentral:rRNA from 1 species
GUAACAUAACAUGAUUAUAAUUGAAGAGUUUGAUCAUGGCUCAGAUUGAACGCUGGCGGUAGGCUUAACACAUGCAAGUCGUGCGAGAAAGUAUCUUCGGAUAUGAUUAGAGCGGCGGACGGGUGAGUAACGCGUAGGAAUCUACCUAGUAGAAGGGGAUAGCCCGAGGAAACUCGGAUUAAUACCGUAUACCUCCUUCGGGAGAAAGAAGGCCUCUCUUUGAAGCUUUCGCUACUAGAUGAGCCUGCGUAAGAUUAGCUUGUUGGUGAGGUAAAGGCUCACCAAGGCGACGAUCUUUAGCGGGUCUGAGAGGACGAUCCGCCACAUUGGGACUGAGACACGGCCCAGACUCCUACGGGAGGCAGCAGUGGGGAAUAUUGGACAAUGGGCGCAAGCCUGAUCCAGCCAUACCGCGUGUGUGAAGAAGGCCUUAGGGUUGUAAAGCACUUUAAGUUGGGAAGAAAGGUUAUUGGCUAAUACCCAAUAACUGUGACAUUACCAUCAGAAUAAGGACCGGCUAAUUCCGUGCCAGCAGCCGCGGUAAUACGGAAGGUCCAAGCGUUAAUCGGAAUUACUGGGCGUAAAGCGCGCGUAGGUGGUUUAUUAAGUUGGAUGUGAAAUCCCCGGGCUCAACCUGGGAACUGCAUUCAAAACUGGUUCACUAGAGUACGAUAGAGGGAGGUAGAAUUCACAGUGUAGCGGUGGAAUGCGUAGAUAUUGUGAAGAAUACCAAUGGCGAAGGCAGCCUCCUGGAUCUGUACUGACACUGAGGUGCGAAAGCGUGGGUAGCGAACAGGAUUAGAUACCCUGGUAGUCCACGCCGUAAACGAUGUCAACUAGCUGUUGGAAAGCACUGCUUUUCAGUGGCGCAGCUAACGUAGUAAGUUGACCGCCUGGGGAGUACGGCCGCAAGGUUAAAACUCAAAUGAAUUGACGGGGACCCGCACAAGCGGUGGAGCAUGUGGUUUAAUUCGAUGCAACGCGAAAAACCUUACCUAUGCUUGACAUACUUGGAAUACUUUGUAAUGAAGUAGUGCCUUCGGGAGCCAAGAUACAGGUGCUGCAUGGCUGUCGUCAGCUCGUGUCGUGAGAUGUUCCGUUAAGUCGGAUAACGAGCGCAACCCUUACCCUUAUUUGCCAGCGAUUCGGUCGGGAACUAUAAGGGGACUGCCGGUGAUAAACCGGAGGAAGGUGAGGACGACGUCAAGUCAUCAUGGCCCUUA